rnacentral:ncRNA from 2 species
AAAUUGGGUAGAGGCGCUUUGAGAAUAGUAAUUAGUUUUAGUAGGCAUACAGUGAGAACUAAUGAAAGGGUAAAAAGCCGAAAGAGGAGAGAAGGUAUUCAAUUCUCUUGGAUAUGUAUAGAAUAUAUACAUAACUGUCAUGAAAAUGGAGAGCUACUAAAUUU